AGCGUUUGUGUGCAUCUUUGUUCAACUGAUAGGUAAAGGAGUGAGAGACAGAUGCAAAAGAAAAUCAGUCUUCUUUUGCAACCCAGAGCUCAUUGUUUAGUAUAGUUUUGGAACAUAGAAGAAGGACUAUG
ensembl:snoRNA